rnacentral:rRNA from 1 species
AAAACUUUCAACAACGGAUCUCUUGGUUCUGGCAUCGAUGAAGAACGCAGCGAAAUGCGAUAAGUAAUGUGAAUUGCAGAAUUUAGUGAAUCAUCGAAUCUUUGAACGCACAUUGCGCCCCUUGGUAUUCCGAGGGGCAUGCCUGUUCGAGCGUC